AUGAACGCUGGCGGCGUGCCUAAUACAUGCAAGUCGAGCGAACAGACGACGAGCUUGCUCCUCUGACGUUAGCGGCGGACGGGUGAGUAACACGUGGAUAACCUACCUAUAAGACUGGGAUAACUUCGGGAAACCGGAGCUAAUACCGGAUAAUAUAUUGAACCGCAUGGUUCAAUAGUGAAAGACGGUUUUGCUGUCACUUAUAGAUGGAUCCGCGCCGCAUUAGCUAGUUGGUAAGGUAACGGCUUACCAAGGCAACGAUGCGUAGCCGACCUGAGAGGGUGAUCGGCCACACUGGAACUGAGACACGGUCCAGACUCCUACGGGAGGCAGCAGUAGGGAAUCUUCCGCAAUGGGCGAAAGCCUGACGGAGCAACGCCGCGUGAGUGAUGAAGGUCUUCGGAUCGUAAAACUCUGUUAUUAGGGAAGAACAAAUGUGUAAGUAACUAUGCACGUCUUGACGGUACCUAAUCAGAAAGCCACGGCUAACUACGUG
rnacentral:rRNA from 1 species